rnacentral:rRNA from 1 species
ACAGGUGGUGCAUGGUUGUCGUCAGCUCGUGUCGUGAGAUGUUGGUUAAGUCCCGCACGAGCGCAACCCUCGCCUCUAGUUGCCAGCAUUCGGUUGGGCACUCUAGAGGGACUGCCGGCGACAAGUCGGAGGAAGGUGGGGGAGUGACGUCAAAUCAUCAUGCCCCUUACUGACCUGGGCGUACACACGUGCUACAAUGGGCGGUACAAAGGGCUGCGAACCCGCGAGGGGGAGCGAAUCCCAAAAGGCCGCUCUCAGUUCGGAUUGCAGGCUGCAACUCGCCUGCAUGAAGCCGGAAUCGCUAGUAAUCGCGGAUCAGCAUGCCGCGGUGAAUACGUUCCCGGGCCUU